UAUUGUAGGCUGCUGUCAGGAAAAGAAAAAAUAAUGGCGUUGCCAGAGGAGGCAGAUAUUUGGUCAGUGGACUGAGAGAGGAAGAUCUACACUCAAUGUGGGUGAGCACCAUCCAGUUGGCUGCCAUUGCAGCUACAACAAAGCAGGUGGAAAAAUGUGAGAUAACCUUGCUUGCCAAAUCUUCUGGCUUCCUUCUUUUCUCAGUGCUGCAUGCCUCCUCCUAUUCCUCCUGCCUUUGGACAUAGGACUUCAGGUUCUUUGGCCUUUGGACACUUGAACUUUUACCAGUGGCCUGCUGGGGACUCUUGGGCCUUUAGCCACAGAAUGAGGGCUGCACUGUCAGCUUCCCUGGUUUUGAGGCUUUCAGACUUGUACUGAGCCACUACCAGCUUUCCUUUUCCCCAGCUAACAGAGGGCCUAUAGUGAGACUUUGUCUUGUAAUUAUGUGAGCCA
rnacentral:lncRNA from 1 species